UGGGGAAUAUUGCGCAAUGGCCUAACGGCUGACGCAGCGACGCCGCGUGAGGGAUGAAGCUUUUCGGAGUGUAAACCUCUGUUGCUCGGGACGAAUGGCGACUUUUGUCGACGUGACGGUACCGAGUGCGGAAGCACCGGCUAACUCCGUGCCAGCAGCCGCGGUAAUACGGGGGGUGCGAGCGUUGUCCGGAAUCACUGGGCGUAAAGGGCGCGUAGGUGGUCUUGUAAGUCUGUGGUGAAAGCCCGGGGCUCAACCCCGGGUCUGCCGCGGNUACUGUGAGACUUGAGUGCUGUAGAGGCUGGUAGAAUGCCGGGUGUAGCGGUGGAAUGCGUAGAGAUCCGGCAGAAGACCGGUGGCGAAGGCGGCCAGCUGGGCAGUAACUGACACUGAGGCGCGACAGCGUGGGGAGCAAACA
rnacentral:rRNA from 1 species